GUUUCGAGUCAGUUUGAGGGUGGCGGGGGAGUAAAGAGGAUAGGAGGGGUAAGAAGGGAGUAAGUACCGGUGCUGUAGGGGUAGGUGUCCGCUGCCGGGCCGCUAGACGAGACGCGGCGGGGAGUGAGGAGGACCGCUGCGGCCCAGGUAGGUGGCGCACGCGAGAGGAGAAGGAGGGUUACCAGCGGAACGAGGGGUAGUGGAUGCGGGUGAGACCGUCGGGGGUUGGGAUCAAGAGAGUGUGGGACAUCCAACUCCUCCUCACUCCGAAGACCCGCUCCUCCACGACCACCACCACGACGACCCGCUCCUCCGUGAACUAAACGCAAGCGGCCGCGACCUAGGCGUACGCGGCCGCGAACUAGACGAGGCAGCACCGAGGCCGCUGGAAUGGUACACCGAGGCCCUGUCCUUCCGAUGGGGCUGCUGUAUGUCCUCUGGAGUUGUGCGGUUACCUACGUCGGUCGGAGGUUGAGUGGUGCGUGGACGUGGUUGAACUACAUCCCUCUCCUCCUCACUCCGAAGAGAGUGCCCUACUGCGGGUCGGUACCCCGUCGUUGUUGGGUUCUAACGACAGUUUUAUUCGGAUUUAAGUCUCAGAAGCCUUCAGUUAAUGAAACUCGGAAACUCAAUCUUCGAUCAAUUACAUGGGAGUCGCCGGCACGAACUAUCCUCCCCGGUCCCUUCACGAAAUUCAGCAAGGUUCUUACACUCUGUCACAGUUCAGACAUUCCGUUCAGUUCCCCUAGGACACCGCCGUUCUAGGAAGUCGCCACGUUCUCUAAUUCCCAAGGUAUUAGCUAAGGCGCGGACAACGACAGGGGUUAAAAGUCGACCCACUGGCGGAGAACAGGUCAUCGACCGUGUACACUGUGCUACAAUGACCGUAACUUUCGUCGUCAUUACAAGACGUCAACCCACUGGCGGAGAACAGUUCAUCGACCGUAUACACUGUGUUCCAAUGACGGUAGCUUUCGUCGUUUGAUACGUCUUGUCUUUGUCCUCGUUACUUGCCUACAGUAACAAUUGUAGGAGUGUACGAACGUUUAGUCGGACGGCUCCUCAAACGGCGGCGGCUACGAAUCAGGCCUCUGUCAGCGCUGUCACAUCCGCUGCCGCAGACUUUCUAACUUCUCUUUCGUACGUGGACACAACCGCUCCUCCAGCAGCAGUACCUACAGCGCCAGCAGUAGCCGCAGCAGCCACGCCGGCAGCAGACCGCAGCAGCCACGGCGGCAGCAGACCGCAGCAGCCACGCCCGUAGGAGCCGCGCCCGCAAAGCCACCUCCCGUUGAGACUUCUCGCUGCCCUCCUAACCAACGGUGAUUAAAACCUCGCCUACACCGACAAAGUGACACAAAAAAAAGAAAAGAAAAUCAACCGCAACCGACUUCCUGCUGUCUCAAAGCAGGCGGGUGGAUUUAACGAAUCGCAUGUUGCACUCCCCAUGAAAAUACAUAAGUGCCAAUCUAGGGUAACUCAUCCGAAUAGAACUGGGAGGUUAACUACACAAAAGAAGACACAUGUCAUUCGCCCUACGCAAAUCCCCUCAAUUGCAAACGAAUAAAAUAUCAUCAUCUCUAUGUGUAGUCGGGGUCCGGGUC
rnacentral:rRNA from 1 species